AGAACUUACCACAAUUGACCCCUUAAUCCCUCGGGACUUCGGGGAAAACAGACAGCUUGAAGUCCAAACAGAUGAAUUUCCCCAUCCAGUGGAUGAUAAGGAACAAUUGCCCACACCCAGUCCUGCCCAGGUUGAGACCUUAAGUCAACCUAUAACAGUCUUCUCAGACAGAGAAACGGAUGCACAGGUGAAACAAAUGUUGUGCUAUCUUUGGUAUUUAUCUUUUGAUCAGUUUUAUU
rnacentral:lncRNA from 1 species